rfam:Micromonospora echinospora strain DSM 43816 genome assembly, chromosome: I
CCGUGGCGGGGCCGACACUGUGGCCACAACUCCAGACGUGAACACGCGUGGGGGAAGUCCGGUCGAAUUCCGGCGCUGGCCCGCAACGGUAGGCCGUCCAGGGGAUGAACCCUGGCGGCGAGCCCGAAUACCCGCCGUGUCCGCGAAUCCCGC